UCUUGAAACCUUCCACUUGAAUCUCUUCUAACCUUCCGAAUCUUCGGUCUGAGCUCAAUCAUGUACAGACGCAGAGUUUGUAGAGCUUCAUGAGCUGCUUCGCAUGGAUUACUCCGGGUUUUUAUCCAUGUCCGAUGAAGUUGGCUCUUUUGUUUAGGGGCAACUUUCUCGUUACCUUAUGUGAUGUUAAAAGACCUGGUUGAUGCUAAUAGAUUGAUUUUGCUCGGUCGGAUUAUGGAAAAUUUUGAUUUUUCUGUAUUCGUCUUGUGGGGUUUUUGACUGUGGUCAAUGCUAUAGUCAGUUUGGUGGCUUGAGUGUGAUUACAAUCCAUCUGGGGAAUUAUUUUUAUGCUGCUAAAUAUCAGAGA